ensembl:lncRNA
UGAUCUAUAAAUUUCAAGUUUGAGAAUUUAAGAGUUAAAACUUAAGACUUUCAACCAGCUCCUUUAUUUUCAGAUGGGAGAACAGAGACCCUGAGGAAAUCACCAAAGAGAACACAACCAGAAAGCUGGAAAGCCAGAACCAAAGGCUGGCCUUGCUGUUCUUUCUGCUCCACAUCUCUGUCCUUCAAUAGGCGUAUCUUUUUCUAGAGAGGAAACAUGAUGCACUGGCAAAACUUUAGUCUACAAAGGAUCAUGAGUCCAUAAGCUGCAACUGUUGCUUUGAAAAGGCAGAAGUAAAAGAAGAGUUGAUGGAGAUACCAGACAUGAAAGGGAUGUAAGUUCUGGGCUUUCCAAUAAUAAGCCAUCCUCCUCCAGAUGAUUUUAAUAAUCUCCAGCACAUGUGUUCUAACCCCUUGAUGCUGUACAAUAUGUGUAACCAAAUAAAAGAUCUCUCCAGAUUCAGAGAUUUACUGUUUGUGAUGGGAAAAGGCCAACCAGAUGACAUCAUUUAUAUUCCAAAUAUGAGCUGCUGCCAAAGCUGGUGAUGUUAAGCUGGAGAAAUUGAUCCUCAACAUUAUUCUAUGAAGGAAAAAAGAAAAAGGUCUUGGCCUAGAUAGUAUCAUUUUUAAAAAUUUAUGUGACUACAAAGACAAGUUUAAUAAACUUCUAUUUUAUCUAGAAUUGCUUAAGUCCAAUGUGUGGGUUGUUUAGGCACACAAUCACUUCCAUAUAUUGCAAGUUACCAGGUUAGGGACUAAGAGUUAUCAUUUUGUUGUUGCUAUUGAAUGCUGUUGAAUUGGUGGGGAGAUUGACCUGAGGCUGUCUGCUCCAGCAGAGCACGCAGCUUUCAGGGCUGUGCUCACUUGUUCCAAAUCAAAGGUCCCCAGUUUAUAUGUGCAGUAUAAUAGUCUCUGCUCCCAUUUCUCAACUUCUUCAUGUCUAACACAAUCAUGGUUUCUUUUUUUUUCUUCAGGUAUCAACAUCCUGCACUACCAUGAGAUACAGGGAGAGUUGGCCCCAUUACCAGUUACAAAGGGAUCGUGGAGGGUGGUGUGGUUUGCUCGCCAUGUGAACUCAAGUGAGUCAUUUCAAGUCUCUGAAGCUGCUUCCUCAUGUAUGAAAUGAAACUCAAAAUCUCUACCCUGUCUACCUCUGAGGUUGUUUGUGGAACUGAGUCAGGAAAGAGAGAGAAGAUUCCUUAAAACUCUGUGGAAAUACAAGGAUUCUUUAUUAUCAGGGGUUUCUGGAGGGAGUACAAGGAAGGUAUGUUGCUGUCUUCACAGAUCAACACCAACAUUUUCAAAAUCAAGUUGACACAUACAAAUUAAUAGUCCCAUCUUGAUAUGCUCACUGGACAAGAACAAGCAGAGACACUAAAGCACCGGCUGACCUGCUCACCCUGGCCCCAUCCCACUUCCUGCAAGUGCGUGUUUGUGGUUUUGGACAGCUUGCGCUGAGAAGUGAUCAGCUUUGAUUUUCUUUCUUUUUUUCCCACACAGCCAUAGAUUAGCCUACUGUCAUUCUGAAUAGAUAUGAAGACUGAAAUGUCAAUUUUAAUAGUGAUGGUGAGAGCAAAUUAAUAUACAGUGAAUCUGAUUGAGCUAAAUAUUACUGGCAGUAAUUUUAUCAUGAUCAUUUUUAUGACUAUAGCGUUCUAAAGAAAUAGAACUUGUAGGUUUGUUGGUGGUUCUCUUUCCCGUAGACAGCCAAGCAGAGCGUUUUCCUCUGAUCCUGGUGGAGUAGAAAGGUGAUAGGUUUUAGCCUAUCUUAGGCUAAAAUAGAACUCAGGCAAUUCUGAGUUCCAACCUUGAUCAAAUUACUUACUUUCUACUUAUGUAUUAUAACAGACCACUUUUUUUGUCAAACAUUUUUAGUUGCACUUUCGUAUCUUACAAAUCUUGUUGCUUGCAGGCCUUCUCACUCUUUGAAACAAUGAAAUUCAGGGCUUUGGGGAGAAGCCCAGUACCUUUAUAAAACAACAGAGCUAUUGCUCAAUUUUGACUUAAUGUUAGGCAUCUGAGUCCAUAGCAAGUUAAAAGUUUAAGGGGAGUUUUUUGGAGGAAGAAUACAGCAGUUAGGAUUUGCAUUCGGUUUCAUGUCACAGAAAUCUGGCUAGUAAGACUUU